AGCGUGCGGUCUCGGGCAGGGACAUGAGGAUGCUCUCAAUGCGGCCAGCUCCGGAGGGCAGCAUCUUGAGGCCGAAGAUGGUGCCCCGGUCGUAGACGAGGUUGAACU
rnacentral:SRP_RNA from 14 species